UGUGUCUGAAGCUUCCAAUAUGCAUACUGAAGAUGGUGGUGGCAGGGCCUCCCCUGUGAGGGGUGCCACACACACCACAAGCCUCCCUCCUCCUCACUCAGCCAGCCCCAUCAGCCCAACCCAUCUGUGCGUUCCCUCCAGACGCCUACAGGGACGAGAGCUCAGAACAGACGGAAGCUGAAGCCACACUCCCCCCAGACUUGGAAGGUGGGGUCUUCUCUGAGAGCCAGGCCAUUCUUCUCCCUCUCUCUGAUGGAGGCCGAGUCGCACGGGCUGCUGAUCCGCUGGUGGGAGAGAUCAGCAAAGGGCCUGGGGCCUGAGCUGCUUCUGCCAGUUCUAAUUUGUCUUUAGGCAGAGGACCUGUGCUGACUUAAAAUAUUUCUCUGAAAGGAAGUCGUCAGAGCUCUGGAGACCAGUGAUGACAGGUGCUAUAGGACACCUGUGGCAGGCUGCUGGUGUGACCCAAGACCGUGUAAGCCGGGGACUUCAGUCCAGGAACAAUGAAGAUUUACUUUCACCAUCACCUCACCCUCACUUCUCUCCCCACCUAUGCGGAGCAUUCUCUGAGGUCAGGUAGGAAGUGCAGUGUGUUGGCAUUCGGAGGAACGGGAAUAAUGAUGGCCAGUAGUAAUGACAAGCUCUCAGGUUCCAAGCCCUCUCCACGGACUGUUUCAUUUCAGCUUCACACCGUCCCUGAGACAGGUGCUACUGUUAGCUUUUCCUUUCCACACAUGAGGGGUCCAAGUCACAGAGUGAUGAACCACCCAGCUUACUCAGCUGGUUUGUGACAGCAGAGCCAUCUGCAGCAUGUGGCGUUGCUCCGGAGCGGGGCCGUUCUGUUGGGAGGGUGAAGGCCCCCUGGCUUGGAUGGGCCCAGGAGUUCAGAAAAGGCUUAUUUUCAGCACUACCCGUUCUAAACAAGUAGGCUUUAUGAUGCUUGAAAGCUGAUGGAAGCUCCCUUCCUUCCUGGAACAUUGGCUAGAGUUUGACAAGUCUCUGAUUUCCAAGGUCACUGCUUCCCCUCCCUGCAAACCAGCACAGACUGGCUCCUUUCCAGUCUUCGGGCCCCUCAUCCAUCUACCAUUGCCCUCAAAAAUAACUGCUUAAUGGCCCUCCAGUAACUGCAGCCAACUCCUUAAGGGCUCUUGAGAGGAGAUCAUGUGGGAAAGCUAACAGAACUCAUCCAACUUUUAAAAAGUGAGCUUUGAUCAGCUCUUUCCUUGCCUCCACCUUCCCAGAUGAUUUAAAUUGGUCUGCUUCACCUCUCACAGAGCUCUCUCCACCAAGAGCACACGCAGAGCAAAUCCAUCCUGGAUAUAAAGUGCAAAAGUUGGGAGGGAAGAGAAGGGAUGUUUGAAGCCAGAAGGUUCAGACCCAGUUCUGAGACCAGAAUUCCUUUCCCGAUCCAGCUCAUGACUAGCGACUUCACCUGGUUGCCAUAGAAACAUUAGUCUCUGUUGGAUGGCAAGCAGCAUUUUUGACGGAAAGCAUCAGAGGCUACCAUGGUAACACCAAAGAGAGUAAAAGCUGCCUUCUCUCCUGGAGGGGUGAGGAAGGAAUGGAGGAUGCCAGGGAAAGCAGGCUAGAAGGGACAGGCGUCAGAGAGCUUAGCUCUGACUUGAACAGAGAGGGAAUUAAUUCGACAGACACCUAAUACGUGCAAAGCAAAGCAAUAACGAAGAAGACAUGUCUAUGGCUCGCCUCAUCGGGCUAUAAUCAUCUGGUAAUAGAGUUUAUACAGAAAUGUAAAUAAAGGUAGAAUGAGACUUGUAACAGGACAAAGAAUCCUGAAAAGGGAAAUCAACCAGCAAAGCUUCAGAGUCUUAAAGGGGAGGAUUCCGACUAGCAAAAGAGGGGCAGAGAGAACAAGAUGAGCAAACACGGAAGUGGAGGGCACCUGGGUGGCUCAGUUGGUUAAGCGACUGCCUUCGGCUCAGGUCAUGAUCCUGGAGUCCGGGGAUCGAGUCCCGCAUCGGGCUCCCUGCUCAGUAGGG